UCCAUUUUCUCUGCCAGGAAAUCAGACAGAGGUAAGGGGUCUUUGAUACUGUGUCCCUUGAUGGCCGUUUUCCUUGAUGGCAACUGGCCACAGAGCCCUGCUGCUGACCUUCAGGAUUGCCCGGUCCCUGCCCUUCCUGGAUCCUGGCUCUUCAGCUUCCCUCCAUCUUGUGACACACUCUGGCAUCCUCCUACUGAAUUCCACCUUUGGCUGAGUUGGCUUCUGCCCCUGGCCUCCAAAGGCACCUUCACUACUACAGACUGGCCGAGGGAGUUGGGAUCGGAGUUAGUGUGUCGAAGGUUGUCCCUGUGAUUCCAAAUUGGGCCGUCCCUAAGAAAUGGGCCCAUCUGGUCAGUUUCCUAAAGAAACCACGAGAUGCCAAGGCUGAAGCUGUCGUUUGUUGAAAGAGCUGUGGCAGCCUGUGGCAGCCUGGGAAAGACACUUCGUGCUGCAGCUGGCACUCGCCCCUGAGAUGCCGGAAGCUCAUCAGUGAGGGGCAUAGGAAGAAGCGAGCUAAGGGGAGGCUGCCGGGGGCCUGCACGGGGCAUCACCCUCAUUCCUCGUUGGACAGAGCCCGCUAGGGGAUGAAAGAGAUGUUCAAGAUCACUCCCAUAGUUCUGGGAGGCAGGGAAACUUCAGUGAAUGAGAUUCCCGUUUCUGGAAAUUUACCUGAAGGCUGGUGUGGUAGGUGAGACAGCCCCCUGCAAUCCCCACCCCUGGUGGUCAGGUCCCCGUGCAGUCUCCUCCCAUGUUAACUAGGGCUGACCUGGGCGACCAGUAGGAUAUGGCAUGUGGUUCUCGAGGCUAUGUCAUAAAAGACCUCAUAGCUUCAGCCUUCUCUUCUGGAUCACUCACUGUGGGGAAGCCAGCCACCAGCCCUACAGAGAGGCCCACGAGGUGAGGAACUCAGGUCACCUGCCAAGCAUCAGCACCCGCUUGUCAACCAGGGUCUGUCCGGCUUCAUCACCAUGACAGACAAAAUAAGUUUAACAGAAAAUAUCGGGAUUGCUGAGUGCCCCUCCUCGGGAUAGUGAGAGACCCACCUCUUCUCCUGUGUCUACCAGUCCAGUGGACGCCAUCCUGUUUGUUUUGCUUGGUAAAAGAAGAAACCAGAAAAUCCGGUCUAGACCACUGAGGGGGCCCGUUCUCACCCGCACAGCCUCUCCCAAACCACAAGUUCCACCAGUUUCUCAGAGCGGACCUGAGGAAGUGAAAUACUGCCUGCCCAAAACACCCAGGGGUCUGUCCUGAAGGAACAACUCAGGGGCGUCCCGAUUUGUUAGAGCAAAGCUGUCCAGACCAUUGAUCCAAGCUGCCCCCCUGGGAUGCUGAGUCAGCCUGUGUGCUUCCCCGGGAAAGACGGGGAGACUCAAGGUUGGGCUAACAGCUCAGGGACUUCUCAUGGCCUGUCCGGGCUUGUCUACUUCCCUUUGGGAAAGCAAGCAAAUGAGUCCUGUUCACAGCACAAAGAAGUUUUGUCUGGUAGAAAAGAGACUCAUGACUUUACCUUUCUGAGAAUUAUAUCUGAGCAGAUCGCUGGUCCCCAAGGAAUCUACAAAGUCUCUCGCACCAUCCAUCCCUCCUGCCCCCCAAUCUGUUCAGGUGGCAUCAGCAGCUGCAUCCUCUGGGUCGCCACUGUGCCCAGAACAGACUUCGAGGACAAGCUGCCCUUGUGUGCUUCUCCGCCAGCGUCUCCCUCCAGACUGCCAGCUCCCGAGGGCAGGGGCCAGGUCUGAUUCUUGCUGGAUCUGCAGAGCUCAGUAGAUGCUGUUGAAUGAAUUUAUGAAUAUACUUGGUCUGGACCACACCUCACUGCUGGUGAAGGAGCCUGGUGUAUGGGAAGGGCAAUUCAUUCAUGUGGCCUCUGAGCCUCAGUUUUUGCAUCUGCGAAAUGAGGCUAUUUCCUAUGUGCUGAUGGGAAGGGUGUCUUAAGUAACUGCUGCAUAGUUUCCAUUUUCUUCUUUUAAUUUCUAUCGCCACCUCCCACCCCACCCCCCGGGAUAGUAUGAACAGGAACAGGGUCAUUUCCUCCGGCUCUCCACCCUGCAAGGCCCACAGAAAGUGUCCAGUGACGUACUGCCACCCGGUUCAUAAACGAGAAGGGGCCAGGGUGCCCACAGCCGGCGGACAAGCAGCAGGAUCUACUCAGCAGAAGCCUUGCACUCCAGUGCUGGGGGGUUGAGGGCAAAGGGAGGGCUGGAGACCCGAACACGAACGGGAACCCCAAGGGAAUAACUGAAGGGAGAGAAUGGCUGCAAGAGGCUGGAUUUCAAGAAGCCACAAGUCCCGGCCCCAGCCCCGGCCCCAGCCCCAGGAACGCACCUGCUUCUCUGGCCCCCUCCUUCCCUAAACAGCAUCAUCUGCUGAGAAAGCAGACUUCUGAAUUCCUGGGGUUCGGGCGCCAUCUCGUGGCCAUUUCUGAAACUGCCCAUCCCGGCUGAGCAGAGCCCAGAGAUCCAAGAGCAACGGGGAACCAGGCCAACACUCCUCCAACUUUCCUGGCCCCGACCCUCUUCAUCCUCACCUUCUCCCUUCCAUUUAUUGAGCACUGAAUAUAUUCCAGUCUCCGUGUUCAGCCCCUCUCAGGACGUCAGCACGUUUAAUUCUUGGAACAACCUUAAAAGGCAGGUAACACUAGUACCAUUUUACAGACGAUGAAACUGAGGCACAGAGAGGAAAAGGAGGUUUCCCAAGGCCGUACAGCUAAGGAAGUGGGCUAGAAGAGCUCCUCUCUGUACAGGAGAGGGGACAGUGAGGCAUUUGAUCCUGCUGCUUCGGAGACAGUUGGCUUUGCGGUCCUUUAGCUCUAAUUCAAAUACGUUUUUGGUGCUGACUCUGUGCCAGACCCUGCACUGGGCGCAGUUACUGGGGUCCAGUAACCCCCUCAGUCCCUAUUAACCCCCUCCAUGGCACUUAUCACUGUAUGGUCUGAUUUCCUUCUUAAGUGUCCAUCUCCCACCGAAACUGUGGGCUUCCUGAGACAUAGAGACCGAUAGUCUGUUUUCUUUGCUGCUGCAUCUCUAGAACUCCGAACUGAUCUCAGAACACAGAAUCGGUGCUCCAUUAACAUUUGUGAAUGACCUAACAAAUCAGUGAAUGAGUACAAUUAAAACAAAACAAAACAAAAAAACAACUAGGGGCACCUGGCUGGCUUGGUGAGAAGAGCAUGCGACUCUUGAUCUUGGGGUCAUGAGUUCGAGCCCCACACUGGGGGUAGAGAUGACUCAAAAAUAAAAUCUUUAAAAACAUAAAAGAACUACAAGAACUAAAAACAAAACAAAACCCACCAACUGGUCUCUGCCGUCAAGGCACUGACAGUCUAGUGUGGAAGGCAGAUUGGUAAAGGGCAGGUGUGGUUCCUGUCCCCACCCCUCCCCCUCCUCCCCCCCAACCCCCGCCUUCCCUCAGUGCUUUCCCAGAGGGAGCUUCAGGAGCCCGGAAAAGGCUCCUAACGUAGCCCUGCCCCGAGCCCCGAGGACAAGGCAGCAGAGCUGAGACUCACACAGGAAGGAAGGGAAAAGGCUCUACAGGUAGAGACCACAGGGCGAGCAAGUGCCUGGAGAGGAGAGCCCGCCUGCCCGGAGCCUGCUUGCCCUGUGCGCACUGUGAACUCCAAGCCUCCAGGAGGACCGUCAGGGGAAGGGGAGAGGCCAGCGGGGAAUUCACCCAGCUAGCCACUUCAGACAAAUCCCUCCCUCGACUCGGCCUCAUAUUCCUCCUCCCCAAAAUGGGAACGAGGCGAGGAUGAAAUGAGACACAGGGCUGGCACACAGAAGGGAAGCUUAGGUCCCCCAGUGGCUUGCCCCACAACCCCGGAUGCACUUCAGGGGCAUGGCCUGGGGCGGGGUGGGCAGUAGCUGGGCUCCAGAGGCCACCAGGAAGUAGCCUGAGACUCAGCGCUGGAGGGGGGAAGCACAGCGCCAUCUGCUUUAAAUCAGCGCCUCAGAGGUCGCAGCACAAGGAGGUCCGGGUCCGAGCACCCAACCCCACGAGACAGCAGGUCCGCCCUGUGAUGAAUGCACGGGCACCAAGUCGAGGAGGAACCAGGCCGGGCCUCACAGCGAGGGCACGGGAGAGAGACCCUCGGAGGAGCCAAUAAUCCAUUCUUGUUUACUAAGCACCUUCUAUGUUCCAGCUAUUAGAAACCCUGGCAAAGCAGCAGACGGUAAGCCAAUGUAGUGUGUGUGCGUGGUGGUGUUGAAAAUUUCUUCUAGGGAGAAAAAUAAACACAGGAAGGGGAAUAGGGACUGUGGGGGUGGUUGGCAAUUUUAAAUAGAAUGGUGCCGGAGAGCCUCCAGAGAAGAGACCUUCAAAUAGAGACCAGAAGGUGUGGUAUGGGAGGAAGCCCUGAGGAUAUCUAAGGGAGGAGGGUCCGGGGCUGAGGGGAAAGCAAGUGCAAAUGCCCUGGGGCAACAUCGUGCCUGCUGUGGUUCAAGGAGCAGUAAAGAAACCAGAGAGGGGGCUGAGGGGGCAGAGGUAGGGGCCGGAUGGAGUAGGGCCGUCUAGACCACUGGGAAGCCCAAAUGAGCGUCUAACAUGUAGCGACAGAGGUACACGAUAGGAGAAAAGCACAGACCCGCUCAUUAGGCAACUCUAAACUUGUGUCUCAUUACCCAGCCACACCUCCCGCAGUGCGCUAUGAAUUAAUAUUUUCUAUAAAUCCUGUAAUUAUCCUGUGAAUAGCACAAUUAUAUUGCAUUGUAUUUUGUGUGUUAAAAGCACUCAUUUGUUAAAUGUAAACAUUUAAA